rnacentral:rRNA from 1 species
UACGGAGGGAGCUAGCGUUAUUCGGAAUUCCUGGGCGUAAAGCGUACGUAGGCGGCUUUGCAAGUUAGAGGUGAAAGCCUGGAGCUCAACUCCAGAACUGCCUUUAAAACUGCAUCGCUUGAAUCCAGGAGAGGUGAGUGGAAUUCCGAGUGUAGAGGUGAAAUUCGUAGAUAUUCGGAAGAACACCAGUGGCGAAGGCGGCUCACUGGACUGGUAUUGACGCUGAGGUACGAAAGCGUGGGGAGCAAACAGG